rnacentral:rRNA from 1 species
UACGGAGGGGGCAAGCGUUGUUCGGAAUUACUGGGCGUAAAGCGCACGUAGGCGGUUUUGUAAGUCUGGGGUCAAAGGCGACAGCUCAACUGCAGUAAGGCCUUUGAUACUAUCGUGCUAGAGUGUCAGAGAGGAUGGCGGAAUUCCCGGUGUAGCGGUGAAAUGCGUAGAUAUCGGGAGGAACGCCGGUGGCGAAGGCGGCUUCCUGGCCCGUUACUGACGCUGAGGCACGAAAGCCAGGGGAGCAAACCGG